UAAAGAAACAAUUUCGGUAUCCCACAGA
rnacentral:piRNA from 1 species